AACGAACGCUGGCGGCAGGCCUCAAACAUGCAAGUCUAGGGGUGUAGCAAUACUGGCGGCGACCGGCGCACGGGUGCGUAACACGUAUGCAACCUACCUUCAACUGGAGGAUAGCCCGGGGAAACUCGGAUUAAUACUCCAUAACACAGGGAUCCCGCAUGGGAAUAUUGUUAAAGCUACGGCGGUUGAAGAUGGGCAUGCGUUCGAUUAGCUAGUUGGUGUAGGUAACGGCUCACCAAGGCUACGAUCGAUAGGGGGUCUGAGAGGAUGAUCCCCACACUGGUACUGAGAUACGGACCAGACUCCUACGGGAGCAGCAGUGGGAAUAUUGGUCAAUGGGCGCAAGCCUGAACCAGCCAUGCCGCGUGCAGGAAGAAGGCCCUCUGGGUUGUAAACUGCUUUUGAUAGGGAACAAAUGCCACUUGCGAGUGGAGCUGAGUGUACCUAUAGAAUAAGCACCGGCUAAACUCCGUGCCAGCAGCCGCGGU
rnacentral:rRNA from 1 species